GACGAACGCUGGCGGCGUGCUUAACACAUGCAAGUCGAACGGAAAGGCCCUGCUUUUGUGGGGUGCUCGAGUGGCGAACGGGUGAGUAACACGUGAGUAACCUGCCCUUGACUUUGGGAUAACUUCAGGAAACUGGGGCUAAUACCGGAUAGGAGCUCCUGCUGCAUGGUGGGGGUGGGAAAGUUUCGGCGGUUGGGGAUGGACGCGCGGCUUAUCAGCGUGUUGGUGGGGUAGUGGCUUACCAAGGCUUUGACGGGUAGCCGGCCUGAGAGGGUGACCGGCCACAUUGGGACUGAGAUACGGCCCAGACUCCUACGGGAGGCAGCAGUGGGGAAUAGUGCACAAUGGGCGGAAGCCUGAUGCAGCAACGCCGCGUGCGGGAUGACGGCCUUCGGGUUGUAAACCGCUUUCGCCUGUGACGAAGCGUGAGUGACGGUAAUGGGUAAAGAAGCACCGGCUAACUACGUG
rnacentral:rRNA from 1 species